GACGAACGCUGGCGGUGUGCUUAACACAUGCAAGUCGAACGGUAAGGCCCUUUCGGGGGUGCACGAGUGGCGAACGGGUGAGUAACACGCGAGUAACCUGCCCUCAUCUCUGGGAUAACAGUCGGAAACGGUUGCUAAUACUGGAUAUGAGCUUGCAAGGCAUCUUGUGGGUUGGAAGGAUUUUUUUGGUUGGGGAUGGACUCGCGGCCUAUCAGCUUGUUGGUGAGGUAGUGGCUCACCAAGGCUUCGACGGGUAGCCGGCCUGGGGGGGGGACCGGCCACAUUGGGACUGAGAUACGGCCCAAACUCCUACGGGAGGCAGCAGUGGGGAAUAUUGCCCAAUGGACGGAAGUCUGAUGCAGCAACGCCGCGUGCGGGAUGACGGCCUUCGGGUUGUAAACCGCUUUCCAUUGUGACGAAGCUUUUUGUGACGGUAGCAGUAGAAGAAGCACCGGCUAACUACGUG
rnacentral:rRNA from 1 species